rnacentral:rRNA from 1 species
UCCGUAGGCGGGCAAUUAAGUCAGAGGUGAAAUCCCACAGCUCAACUGUGGAACUGCCUUUGAUACUGGUUGUCUUGAGUUAUAGUGAAGUAGAUAGAAUACGUAGUGUAGCGGUGAAAUGCAUAGAUAUUACAUAGAAUACCGAUUGCGAAGGCAGUCUACUAACUGUAUACUGACGCUAAUGGACGAAAGCGUGGGGAGCGAACAGGAUUAGAUACCCUGGUAGUCC